GAGAUUAGACAGCAAAGAUCCUAGUACAGGAAGGCAAGAGGGAGAGGUAUGCAUAGAGAAAAGAUAUGGCAGGAGUUCUUCUUUUAAGGAGGACACUCAUCUUCGGAUCAGUCUGAAGUAUAUCUCAGAGGGGCGAUCAUCCAUCUUCAAGCGUUGACAGUGAACCUGUAUCGGCUUAGAGGCUACGAUAUUAAUUUGAUCCUUAAUGAAUUGUACUAUCUUAUUUACAAUGCAGGGUCCUAUUGCCACUACUAGAAGGAGGCCUAACAAUGGCCCCAAUAAGGGAAGAAGAUAAGGCAAAAAUCCAUUAAGUCCAGUCCAGAGAGGGUUCUCAAAUAAUUCCCUCCUCCUUUUUUCUAGGUCUUCUUGGAGUUGUUUAAUUUUNUUAGAGGCUAAGAUAUUAAUUUGAUCCUUAAUGAAUUGUACUAUCUUAUUUACAAUGCAGGGUCCUAUUGCCACUACUAGAAGGAGGCCUAACAAUGGUCCCAAUAAGGGAAGAAGAUAAGGCAAAAAUCCAUUAAGUCCAGUCCAGAGAGGGUUCUCAAAUAAUUCCCUCCUCCUUUUUUCUAGGUCUUCUUGGAGUUGUUUAAUUUUUGUGCGAACUAUGCCAGACUUGUUAGCAUAAAAACAGCACCUCUCCCCAAGGGCUAAACAAAUUCCCCCUUGAUUGGCAGUAAGCAAGUCUAAACCCCGCCUGUUCUGAAGAACUACUUCUGCUAGGGAGUCUAUCUGGUCUUGUAAGUCUUUAAUGGUUCCCGACAGGGUUUGCACAUCAUCUAUAAGCUGUUGAGAUAGGCGGCGGUAAGAAUGUAUAGCCGUACCCAAUCCUGCCAUGCCUGUACCCACAGCAGCGGUUAUUCCAAGGCCAACAAGGAGUGGUAAGGCCUGAACAGCUCUCUUGUGUCUUCUAACUAAGAUGUCUAGGCUAGGAAUGGGUAGGGGUUCAUCUCCUGAGAUAAUCGUGAUAUCAGGAAGCAGUAAUGCCAGAACGCAACCUCCAGUCCAAUUUGCUGGGAGCCUGGGAAAAGCUAAAUUUCCACCACACAUAAAGACUGUGCCAUUAGGGGGACAAAUGGGCGGGGUAGGUGAGGAGUAAUUCUUUACUAAUGAGCAGUUCCCAAAGGAAGAGACUCCAACAUCAACAUCAUAGGUAUUAUUUUGCAUCAUGCCCAGAAGGCAUGACAUAAAACCACCUAGAGGCUGCACCUUAAAGGGUAGCCCAGAUUGACAUGUGUUGUCAUCAUCAAUGGUAUAAUUGAUGGGAACCGCCAAUGGCAUGACUGCACCUGCCGUCAUGCAGAGCCAGCAAUCACCAGCAAGGGUAGGGUUGGAACUGUUAAGUAAAGAAAAGGUAGUUUCUAGGAUAUCUAAUGUAUUGGCAUCUAAAUCAGGAAGAUGGGAUUUGGGCAAUAUCAAGGGGUGGUAUGUAGGCUUAGGGAUCUCCGGCUUUAAAAGCUUAAUCACCUGAAGGUGUUUGAUAGCAUCAGUGGGUCCCCCUCCAUCAGAGACUGCAAUGGGGGCCUGCAUGGACCAGCAGGAGGGUUUACCCACGACACCCUCACAUCCCGCCUCCUUUAACAGAGUCGUGAUGCCUUCCCCUCCCCGGUCACCAAGAAAAGGAAUAAAAUUAUAAGUGGUCCCCCCUUCUCCACGGGUGUUAGUUAGGAUGGCCUCAAAAUACUGUUUUCCCUUGAUUAUUAACACAAAUUGAGGCCGAUAUAUAACAGGAGAUGUGCAUCGCCGGGGUGUAAUGACAAGUGGCGGAACAGCUUCCAAGAGUCUCGGUCGGAUUAGGGACAACAAGUCUGGGCUUAUUAACACAUACCCAUUUUGGUUGCUUAAAUCCUCCGAUGUUUUGAUUGAGUUCAGCCGCCAUGUAGGCUACUUUAGUCCCACAAUCAACACUCUGGGUAUAACCAGAGGGGGCCGAGUGCCGGGGCCCUCCCUUACACUCACAAGGGGCUCCAAAAAGAUAUUCAUGAAUAUUCCCAGGUGGGGGGUCAAGCCCUCCUUCAACAAACCUGUCCAGAAGGAAUGCCACAAGCGGGGUCCAGCUCAUGAGGUGUGUCUCAGCACUCACUUGAAGGGGUGAGAACAACAGCGGCAGGAUCAGCCAUCUUGGGAACUUUAUUUUGUCUUGAAUUUUCAUUCACCGGUCUGGUGCAGCGCUCCGGGAUCCAAAUGGGCUUCUCAGUUCCUGGGGGAAAAACACAUACAGCUCCCCUCACUCUAGCUAAGAGUGGAGCCGGGGGUUGCCACUUCCCGGUGGAUAAAUCCUUCCACCUUAUUUGGGCAUCUUGUACAGUGGGAGGGGAAAAGUGGCGCUGUGCAGCCGUGCGCCCUCCAGUGUCAGUGAGUAAAAAAUUUAAAGUAAAUAGGGUUAUGCUUAGAAGUGCUUGUGGUCCCUGACAAUUCCGGUAUAUCUCCCCCUCUUUUGUUUUUUGCAAAUAAGUUUUUAAAUGUUGAUGGGCUCAUUCCACGAUAGCCUGUCCCUGUGGAUUAUAAGGGAUUCCAGUCUUAUGAUUAAUUUCCCAUUGAGUGUAAAACCGUUGAACCGCCUGGCUUACAUAUGCGGGACCAUUAUCGGUUUUGAGGCAUCGUGGGGUGCCCAUGGAGGAAAAGGCUUUUAGAAGAUGACUGAUUACGUCCUUAGCCUUCUCUCCAGUAUGUAAGGUGGCAAAAAUGAAGCCAGAAUAUGUAUCAGUGGAAACCUGUAUAAAGGAGAGCUUACCAAAGCUAGGGAAGUGUGUAACAUCAGUUUGCCAAACAUCAUUAGGUUGUAGUCCUCUUGGAUUAAUCCCAAAGGAAGGAGAAUGAAUAAAUGGUGCACAGGUUGGACAUAAUGAGACAAUUUGCAAGACUUGGUCCCGUGAACAUCCUGUGUGGAAGCGUAAGGACUGUGUAUUUAAAUGAAAUUUGUUAUGGAAUUGUAAGGCCUUAUCAUAUUUGGUCGUCACACAGGAAAGGCCGACAGCAUGAGUAGCAGCGUCUGCUUUUGUGUUGCCCUCUGACAAAGGUCCAGGGAGCCCUGAAUGGCUUCGGAUGUGGCCGACGUAUAAGGGAUCUCGUCUAGCCCAAAUGAGAAGCUGUACUACCUGUAGUUGUUCUGUGAUGGUGGAUUGCUUUCCAAUAUAUGAUGCUGUUUCUAUGACUAGAGUCAGAUUGGCUACAUACAAGCUGUCAGUAUAUACAUUAAGAGGAAUAGAACUAUAGACUUUGAGAGCUAUGAUUAAAGCUUCAACUUUCGCCUUUUGGGCCGACUGACCUGACACAGGUUGUCAGAGAAUUUGAGAUCCAUCAAAAACGACGGCAAAUCUAUUUUUGGCCCCAUCUGUAUAUACAGUUCGGGCCUUUGGAAUAGGUUCCCUUUUUAUAAUCUUUGGGAAGAUAAUGGGACACCUUUUAAAGCCCUCUAAAAGUCUAUGUUUAGGAAAGUGAUUAUCAAUCUGACCCUUGAAGCUGCACAGGAAAAGACACCAAAGGUCAUGUUUUUGUUGUAACUUGUGUAUCAUAUCUUGAGUGUAAGGUUGAAUAAGUAUGUCAAAGGUUUUUCCAAACAAUGCAUCACCCAAAUAUUUAGUCUUCCAAAUUAAGUUAAUAACUAGCUCAUAAAAGGGAGUCAGUACCUGGGGGUUAGAAGCCGGCAAGUGGACCCAAUAAAUGGGACCAGUUUGCCAGAACACUCCCGUGGGGGUAAUUUUGGAGGGUAGAUCUAUAAAUGACAAGGGCAGAGAAUAAUCUAUCUGCGUAAUCUGCAUGUCCUGCAGAGCCUCUUCUAUUAGCCUCAGUGCUCGUAAAGCUUCUGGUGUAGGUACUCUACACGACGUAGGAGAAGGAUCUCCUCGCAAGAGGUCAUACAGGGGUUUGAGCUCUCCAGUGGGAAUAUGAAAGGACGGGUGCAGCCACUGUAUUUCUCCGAGGAAUGUCUGUCACUGAUGUAAAGUUUUGAGCUGAUUUAUCUGGAACUGGGGUUUUUGGGGAAAGAUUUCUAUGUUAUUAAUGAUGUAUCUCAAGUAAUUGUAAGGGUGUUGAAACUGGACCUUUUUGGGCGCUAUAAUCAGCCCUGCCCCUUUUAGAAGGGAUUGGAGGACUUCAUAAGAUUGAAGAAGUCUUUUUUUCUUGGGCCCUGCCAGUAAGAUGUCAUCCAUAUAAUGAAUGAGGUAGAGCCGUGGGAACUGCUGUCGGAAGGGUCAUAAAACCUCAGCCACAAAAUAUUGGCACAUUGUAGGACUAUUAGCCAUCCCUUGAGGUAGGACGGUCCAUUCAUACCGUUGGUAAGGUUCCCUAAAGUUUGUUGAAGGCAAGGAGAAGGCGAAACGCUUUCGGUCCCGAGGGUCUAAGGGGAUAGAGAAGAAACAAUCCUUUAAAUCUAUGACAAUAAGGUGCCAAUCCUUUGGGAUCACAGUAGGAAAGGGUAGCCCUGGUUGUAAGGGUCCCAUGGGCUGCAUAGUUUUACUGAUAGCCCGUAGGUCCUGAAGAAGCCUCCACUUCCCAGACCCCUUUUGUAUAACAAAAAUAGGGGUAUUCCAAGGGGAGGUAGAGGGCACCAUGUGUCCUAACUCAAGCUGGUCUUGAACUAAUAGGGAAGCGGCCUGUAAUUUGUCCUUAGUUAGGGGCCACUGUUCUACCCACACAGGGUCAUCUGAUAACCAAGUAAUGGACAGUGGAGGCGGCCGCACUUCAGUGGCCCCUAGGAUAAAUUUUCCAGUCCCCUCCGGUCCCUUCCCCGCCGGGUAACCUGUUCCGCUGGGUCCACGGGUGAUAUUCUGCCCUCAUGUCUCUUUCCUAGUCCCCUCCCGGGGAUCCAUCCCAUGUCUAGCAUUGCAUCAUUAACAAAGUCAUUAUUUUUUUUUAAAGUCUGGGUAGUGAGAAUAGCCCCCAUUUGAUGAAGCAAGUCCCUCCCCCAAAGGUUCGUGGGGAGUCCAGUCACCACAUAAGGCUGGAAAUGGCCACUAUGUCCUUCACCAUCUUUCCAUUUUAGAAAGGAGGCACUUCUUUUUGGUUGAGUUUGUCCUAUCCCUUGUAAUAUGGCCGAGGGAUUCUGGAGGGGCCAGGCAGAUGGCCAUUGUUUCUCAGAAAUGACAGAGACAUCCGCCCCCAUAUCUAGUAUUCCCUUGAAAGCCUUGUCCUGUAUCUUAAUGGUCAGGUUGGGACGCGAAUCCAAAUGAGCUACCCAAAAGGCCUGGGGAGUUCCAGUGGAGCCAAAGCUGCCGUCGCCCUGGGACCCACGGAGGGCGUGCCCAGGAAUGGAAGCUAAAGGUAGCAGCAGCAAUUGAGCUAUACGCUCCCCGGGGGGAAGAAUAACAAUUCCUUGGGUAGCUUCUACUACUAUUUUUAUUUCUCCCUGAUAAUCAGCAUCAACAACCCCCGUAAGAAUCUUCAAGCCCCACUGAGUUGCGCUACCUCGUCCCAACACUAGUCCCACCGUCCUCUCUGGCAGGGGUCCAAAAACCCCAGUAGGCAGCGUCUGAGGUCCCAUUUGGGGAGUUAAUACCGCUCGGGAGGUGGAACUGAGGUCCAGUCCUGCGCUUCCUGGUGUUCCCCUGGGGAGUUCCCAGAUAGAAAGGGGUUGGUCAGUGGGAGGCGGCGGAGACGCCCACUCCCUGGGGCACUGUUCUGUCCCUGCACUGCCCCGUACACUUUGGCUUCCGGGGCCCGGGGCGGGCCCCUGCUCCCGUUUCCCGACGGUAUUGGGUUACCCUGGAUGUCAAAUUUUGACCUGCACUCACUGCUCCAAUGAUUUCCUUUAUGACAUCUAGGACAAAUUCCAGGCAUCCCUCUGCCAGCACCCUCGCUCCUUUCCGGGCAGUUUCUCCUUAUAUGUCCCUCUUUCCCACACUUAAAACACCCCUUAGAGCGGGUUCCCCUGUUAUCAGAUUUUUGCAUUCCAGUCUUAAGGGCAGCAGCCAAAACCUGACCAGUAAUAUGAGGCCCAUCUAUAUCUUUGCAUGCUCGAAUCAUGUCAU
rnacentral:lncRNA from 1 species